rnacentral:rRNA from 1 species
GACGAACGCUGGCGGCGUGCUUAACACAUGCAAGUCGAGCGGUAAGGCCCUUUCGGGGGUACGACGAGCGGCGAACGGGUGAGUAACACGUGGGUGACCUGCCCUCAGCUCUGGGAUAAGCCUGGGAAACUGGGUCUAAUACUGGAUAUGACUCCACGGUGCAUGUCGUGGGGUGGAAAGCCUUGUGCGGCUGAGGAUGGGCCCGCGGCCUAUCAGCUUGUUGGUGGGGUGAGGCCUACCAAGGCGACGACGGGUAGCCGGCCUGAGAGGGCGACCGGCCACACUGGGACUGAGACACGGCCCAGACUCCUACGGGAGGCAGCAGUGGGGAAGUCUUGCGCAAUGGGCGAAAGCCUGACGCAGCGGCGCCGCGUGAGGGAUGACGGG